rnacentral:snRNA from 1 species
GGAUGUGAGGGUGAUCUGGCUGCGACAUCUGUCACCCCAUUGAUCACCAGGGUUGAUCUGGCUGGCUAGGCAGGUGUUCCCUUCCUCCCUCACUGCUCCAUGGGCAUCCCUCCCGAAGCUGUGCACUCGAUUGAAGAGGAUGGCCUUCCCUGAAUAGAGACGGACGGAUCUUUGGUCGAGGGUAUACGAGUAGCUGCACUCCCCUGCUAGAACCUCCAAACAAGCUCUCAAGAAUAAAGAAAGGAUCCUGAAGACUGCAAGAGAAAAAAAAGGGUUCCCUACAGAGGAAAACCCAUAAGAU